UACGUAGGGUCCGAGCGCUGUCCGGAAUUAUUGGGCGUAAAGGGCUCGUAGGCGGUUUGUCGCGUCGGGAGUGAAAACUCAGGGCUCAACCCUGAGCGUGCUUCCGAUACGGGCAGACUAGAGGUAUGCAGGGGAGAACGGAAUUCCUGGUGUAGCGGUGGAAUGCGCAGAUAUCAGGAGGAACACCGGUGGCGAAGGCGGUUCUCUGGGCAUUACCUGACGCUGAGGAGCGAAAGCAUGGGGAGCGAACAGG
rnacentral:rRNA from 1 species